rnacentral:rRNA from 1 species
UGCAUCGAUGAAGAACGCAGCGAAACGCGAUAGGUAAUGUGAAUUGCAGAAUUCCGUGAAUCAUCGAAUCUUUGAACGCACCUUGCGCUCCAUGGCAUUUCGUGGAGCAUGCCUGUUUGAGUGCCGCGAAAUCUCCCACCCCUAGCGGUUGCCGCAAGGCGCCGCCGGGCGGCGGGGUUGGUUGGGUGCCGCUGCCUGGGCUUUGGCCCAGGCUCGCCCGAAAUGCAUGAGCGCUUAGCACUCGCACCGUCUCGAGGGAAGGCGGCGGAGCUGGCAUCUGCGCAUGGCAUGAUACGUCAUUUGCUGUGUGGCAGCCCAGCGACCCGAGAGUGUGUGUGCGCUACUACACGCCCUUUCAUUUCUGGUCUCAAAUCAGGUAGGAUCACCCGCUGAACUUAAGCAUAUCAAUAAGCGGAGGA